UCCCUGGUAGUAUAUCGGUUAGUACACGCGCCUGUCAUUCAUUGUAAAAAACGAUAGCUCCGCGCGAAAGCUGGGUUCGACUCCCAGCCAGGGAG